UAAUGGAAAUUUCAGGGAUUUAUAAAUGUGAAGCUACUCAACACAAACGCUUUUUAUUUCAUUUCUUUACCUCCCCACCAAAAAUGGCUUUAAUAUGAAAGGGUUUUAGGGGCGAAGGAGGGAAUGCUUCAUCAAGACUUCUCCGAGGUAUGCAUCUCUAAAAUGUGGGUGGGGAGAGAAAUGAAAAAUCCCUUCCAAAUUUCAAUCCAGAGCUCUCUACCAAUUAAGUUCUUCCAGGGCCUUACAAAAGAGCCCAUUUAAACCAAUGCAUAAGGGAGGGUAGAAAAUAAUAUUGCCUAGAUUAGCUGGAAAACGAUCCUGCAGAUCCCAGCACAACGAAUUGACAUAGAGACUUCUUAUCCAAAAUCGGCUUCUCUGUCCCUCCUCCAAAACUAACCCUCCUCCUGCAAAGAAAGCAGCCGUGGAAGAUGGAGCUCUAGAAGAGAAUGUCAUUGCCACACCCUCCCCACGACACCCUCUUGUCUCCUAACCUCUCAAAUUAGUAUGGAUUUUGUAGGGCUCUGGAAGCCCCAAGACAAGACAAGAACACAGGAGCGCCGCACAAAGGCACAUACUAGUCCAACCCAAGAUCCGUCAGCCAGGCCAAGAAACCAGCCCCUGGCAGCUUUUUUUUUUUUUUUUUUUAAAGCUGCUUCCCGUUGCAACCCUAAGCAGUGCGACGCGGCGCUGGUGUGUACAUAGAGCAAACCAGGGAAAUCCAGGAGUUACUCUGCUGAAAUCCAGCCGGGUUUUGACUCCGAUCUCCAACUGUUCCCCUUCAACUCAGAGAAUGUAACAAAGAACAGUCGGCAUGGCGGAUGGACUGGGGACCGUGUGUUGAGUGCAAGUCAACCCCGUGGGGCUAGAGAGAAGGAGGGGAGGGAGGGAGGAUUCCCUCCCCUCCCUCUCAUGGUGGGCCCCUGGGGACACUCGGGUGCUCACUGGGGGUGCCGGUGAACCGGGCAAGGACAGGGGAUGUUCCAAAAGUCUGGGUGCUGGGAAACACAGCAUGUGAUUUCCUGUAGACUUCAAAAUCAGACUGAAAAUAUUUUGGUGCUGCAGGAAUAUAAGGUCAUUAUAUGAUCGGCUCAUUCCAGGAUCUUUUUGAUGAUGCCAUGGAUGGAAGACUUUUGCUCCCUUU